rnacentral:lncRNA from 1 species
UCUUCUCCAUUGACGCAUCCUUCGAUCUGUGCUUGAGCUCUCUCCAUCUCUCUCGAUCUCGACCCCUCUCUCCAUCUCUCUCGAUCUCGACAAAAACCCAUCUCUUCUCACUCUCGAAUCUCUUCAUCGACCUCUCUGGUCUCAGCCUCUCUCCAUCUCUCUCCUCUCAGCUCUCCCUCUCGACGACCCUCUCAAGCUCGACCUCUCAGGCUCUCCCUCUCUGGACAACCCUCUAAAGCUCAUACCCUCUCCGAACUACUGGCUCUCGAGGAUUUGUGUUACCUUCAAGGAGUGUUGUUACUCUCAUAACUCUGAAGGGUAAGCUCAUUUCGGAUCUCAUGUUUCUGCUAUGUCCAUGUUUUUGUUGUUGAGACUAAUUUGGGGAACAAUCUUUGCUUCAGGUGCGUGAGAUGUUUGCAGCAAGUGGAUAUUGAGUACAAGUCAUUGAAGGCAAAGCUUCAGGAUUUGUUCAAUGUAAGUGACAAAAGGAUUAUUAGAAACUGUGAAAGAAACAUAGUUUUUUUCUUUUGAAUUCAUUCAUGAAUGAUUCUUGUAUUGUUUGUUGCAGCUUGAGCAGCAGAUUGUCCAAGUUACAGAAGCUCUUUGUUUCCAGAUAGUGAAGGUGUUGGAUUUCGUUGCAAAGAAAGAAAGUCUGCAACUGCCCCACGGUUUUACAGCAUUACAAGUACUUCUAGGUAACAUCCGAGAAGCAUUACAAGUUAUCUGUCUCUGUGUUCCAUGAUCUAUGAUUCUGUUUAUUUGUUUCUUGAUUUCGUGAUGCUGGUUCCUGUGAUGCCUAGCUGUUGACUGUUGCUAUUGCAAAUGUAUGUCAUUUCUCUGAUAGCUCACACUACCUUUUGUGUUCUGAUAUAUAUUCUAAAACAUUGAUGCUAGUGAUGGUCUGAUAACUCAAUUGAUUACUUGUGUCUGAUAACUCAAAUGAUUACUUUCGUAAGCUUCCUUUCUUCUGUUGAUGGAUUUAUGAUGAUUACUGCCGUUGAACUUGUACUGUCUGAUAAGCUUUCUUUCCAAGUGGUUUUAAGUCACAAAACGUGUACUGUCAUUUGCCAGCUCUAAAGGUCUGUUGAUUGUGAAGUUGUAAGGUCUUCAUGUUCUCAUAGCAUAGAUGAUAACUUCAUGUUCUCAUUGCUUCUUCUUUCUGCUUUUUUUUUGCAGGUCUCAGGCUCGCAAGCUCAAACCCUCUCCAAGCUCACUCUCUCGAUGGCAAUAGAUGUAAGCUCAGAUCCUUCUUCUUUGCAUUUGUGUAUAGAAAUGUCUUUAGGUUGUAUGGAACUUGAGUUUGUGUAUAGAAAUGUCUUUAGAUUGAAUGGAACUUGAGUUUAUGUGUAUAGAACUGUGUUUAGGUUGUAUGGAACUUGAGUUUAUGAGUUUAUAAAUGGAACUUGCUGUAUGUGUUUUGCUUUAGACUUGGAAACCUGAGGAAACUAGAUAUUUUUUCGAACUCUAUGCAGAAGAGAGAAGAAAAGGAAAUAAGGCUGGUAUAUCAAUGAAUAAAGUGGGGAAAGCAAACAUUAUGGAGGCGUUUGAACAACGGUUUAAGAAGAAUUUACCUGAUUGGAAGCCCUACAAGAGCAAGUACGACACCAGUAGGAAGAAAUACAUCAAGAUUAAGACGCUGACUCAAAACGGGACAGGGCUUGGGUUUGAUGACAUGGGAAGGAUUGACAUGUCAGAUGAUUGGUGGAGUGAACGCGAAAGGGUCAGUUUCACAUUAUUCUCUCUUCAGUUUCACAUUUUACUAUAUAGCAUAAUGAUAAUAAGCAGCUUAUAUUACAUUUUUUUCUCUGUUAAUGGCAUUGCUAUCACUAACUUACUCUUUGUUUUUUGCUGUAUAGGAGUGUCCUGGGAUUAGAAGAUCCGUAUGCAAAGAGAUUAGUAACAUGGAUAUGUUUGAAGCGGAAUUUGGUGGUGUAGUAGUAACUGGAGCUGAAGGAUGGAGCGCUCAACAUGGAGAAGCCAGUUUGAACUCUAGAGUGGGUGAAGAUGAUGGUGAUGAUGAAGCUGAUUCUCAGUCAGCAGCAGAAACUCAAGCAUUGGAGACAGAAACACAGCCACAAGCCCCACGCCAAACUCAGCCAUCGACUCAGACUCAUUCUGGAAGUUCAAGAGCAAAAAGAAGGCGUAAGGAGAAAGACAUGGUUGUAGAAGCUUGUGUGAAACGGACUGAAAGUAUUUUGAAUAACAAUCUGAACAUACAUUAACAAAAAUAAGUAAAUAAUCAUUUGAUUCAGUUGUGUUUUUGUAUCUGUUAGGUACUUACAUGAUAUCUAUAUCUAUAUUGAAUAUUCGUAGGUAAGUACUAAAACCAUAGUGCUGUUUGUUUGGUUGCCGCAGGUACCUGCGUCGGCGUCGGCAUCAAUUUUUUAAAAUAAUCUUGUUCGUUUCGUUGACACGCCGGUACUGCGUCUGCGUUCUCGCAUCAGACGCCAAAAAAAUCUGCGUCGUGCGAUAAAAAGUCAGCGUCUGAGGUUUGUUUUACACAUAUACCCUUAAUGUUUUUCAUUAUUUACGUAACCCUAAUUCAAUUUAAACGCGGCUUUACCUUUUUGACGCAGCCUUCGGAUAUCUCGUCUCAGCCUCUUCUCCAUUGAGGCAUCCUUCGAUCUGUGCUUGAGCUCUCUCCAUCUCUCUCGAUCUCGACGAAAACCCAUCUCUUCUCACUCUUGAAUCUCUUCAUCGACCUCUCUGGUCUCAGCCUCUCUCCAUCUCUCUCGUCUCAGCUCUCCCUCUCUACGACCCUCUCAAGCUCGACCUCUCAGGCUCUCCCUCUUUGGACAACGCUCUGAAGCUCAGACCCUCUCAGAACUACUGGCUCUCGAGGAUUUGUGUUACCUUCAAGGAGUGUUGUUACUCUCAUAA